AACGAACGCUGGCGGCAGGCUUAACACAUGCAAGUCGAGCGCCCAGCAAUGGGAGCGGCGGACGGGUGAGUAACACGUGGGAAUAUGCCUUUCGGUACGGAACAACUCAGUGAAACUUGAGCUAAUACCGUAUACGCCCUUACGGGGAAAGAUUUAUCGCCGAAAGAUUAGCCCGCGUCUGAUUAGCUUGUUGGUGAGGUAACGGCUCACCAAGGCGACGAUCAGUAGCUGGUUUGAGAGAACGACCAGCCACACUGGGACUGAGACACGGCCCAGACUCCUACGGGAGGCAGCAGUGGGGAAUCUUGGACAAUGGGGGAAACCCUGAUCCAGCCAUGCCGCGUGAGUGAUGAAGGCCUUCGGGUUGUAAAACUCUUUCGAUGGGGACGAUAAUGACGGUACCCGUAGAAGAAGCUCCGGCUAACUUCGUGCCAGCCGCCGCGGUAAUAC
rnacentral:rRNA from 1 species